CAGUCGCCACGGUAAUACAGAGGGUGCGAGCGUUAAUCGGAUUUACUGGGCGUAAAGCGUGCGUAGGCGGCUUUUUAAGUCGGAUGUGAAAUCCCUGAGCUUAACUUAGGAAUUGCAUUUGAUACUGGGAAGCUAGAGUAUGGGAGAGGAUGGUAGAAUUCCAGGUGUAGCGGUGAAAUGCGUAGAGAUCUGGAGGAAUACCGAUGGCGAAGGCAGCCAUCUGGCCUAAUACUGACGCUGAGGUACGAAAGCAUGGGGAGCAAACAGGAUUAGAUACCCCCGUAGUCCCUGUCUCUUAUAC
rnacentral:rRNA from 1 species